UAGACCAUACAAAGAAAAGUCUACUGAGGCCAUAUUUCAUCCAACUUUGUCAUUUAAGACAGAAAAGGAAUAUGAGACCUAGAAGAGUCUGUGCGGAAAAGGAAGCUUUGGAAUUUAUUGCUUCUGGAACAGAUAAAGACAUCUUUCAGAAAAAAGUUAUAAGUCAAGAGAAAGGUUAUGGAGUAAUUGCCUGCAAAGACAUUGAGCCAGGAGAAUUCCUGCUUGAGUAUGCUGGAAGACACAUAACUGGAUCUGAAGGAGAGGCUCUGUUUAAAGAGUACUCAGCUGAAGAUGCCGCGUUUCUGUACUUCUACUCCUACCAGGGACAUUUAUAUUGUGUUGAUGGCAGUAAAGACACAGAACGACUUGGACGAUUCAUUAACGAUGAUCACAUUAAGCCGAACAGCAAAAUUAAAAUAAUAUGUGAUGGUGAAAAAAGACCACAUUUAUGUGCGUUUGCAACUACAAAAAUCCCUGCAGGAGAAGAAAUUGUCUUUGACUAUGGAGAUCCUGACUGCCCAUGGAGACAUGAAAUAGCCAAUAUGGAUAAUUCCUUGCCUCAACAACACAAUGAGAUAGACAUCUCAGAGAAUGUUUGCGAUGAUGUGACGGAAUCAUCAUUAUCCAACAAUGAAGAGGAAUGCUCUAAAUGUGAAAUGAACAACAUGGAUCAACAGCUUUCCCUUUUCGUGGAAAUGUUGGAAGAAGAAGAAGAGGGAGAAAAAGAGGAGGGUGAAGAAGAAGAAGAGGAAGAAAAAGAGGAUAAUGAUGAAGAAGAAGUAAGCGAAACAAAAGAAGUACAAGGGAAAAUAGAAGCACAAAAAGCCAUCCGUGGUAAACCACUUAAGAAGACAAUGACAGAAAUGGAUGAAAGUGCUAAUGAUUGUCAAAAUCAACAUAUGAUUAAGGUGAAAACGUCCUCAAACAAACCAUGCCAACGGAUCUACGACAAAAAGAAUGUCUGCCUUUACUGUGAAAAGCCAUAUGCAAAAAUAACAAGACAUCUCAAACAAAAACAUCAUGGAGAAGUUGAAGUUGCAAAGGCAUUGUCACAUAAGCAAGGCUCAAGCAUGCGAAAUCUUUUAUUAACUAAAGUACGGAACCUGGGAAAUUUCCACCAUAAUAGUGCAGUCCUAUCCACAGGAAAAGGGGAGAUCAUACCAAAAAGGCAAGCUUUGAAUGUGUCAGUAGCAACUGACUACCUGCCUUGCAAGUUUUGCUUUGGUAUGUAUGUCAAAACUGACCUCUGGAGGCAUCAUAAACGUUGCAAGUUACAAAAAAAAGAGAAUAUUCUGGUGAGGCGGAAGGUUCAGGCAAGCUGUUCCCUGCUGUUGCCCAUGGACUCAACAAUUUCAGCUGGACUUCAAAAGAUUAUUGGAGACAUGACAUAUGAUGCUGUAACCCAGGUGGUAAAAUCAGACACAUUAAUUUUGUCAUUAGGUGAAAGAAUGUUCCUAAAGAAUGGUGAAGUUGGACGAUACCGCGCUGACAUCAGAAAUAAGAUGAGGGAACUUGCCAGACUACUUCUUGUGGCAAGAUCCAUUGACAAGGACAUUGUUACUUUGAAGGACUUGAUCAACCCAGCAAAGUUUAACACAGUACUUGAAGCUGUGAAAAAGAUGACCGGAUUUGACGGAUCAACAAAUAGAUUUUCAGUUCCAUCAACAGCACUUAAACUACGACAUUCUCUUAUUAAAGUGGCACAAAUUUUGCAAGGGGAGGCUUUACGCCACGAAGAUGAAGCUUUAAAGGGACGAGCAGAGCACUUUAAUAAGCUUAUUGAACUGGAAUGGACAAUCCAUGUGUCAUCAAAUGCACUAAAAACACUAUACCAGAAAAAAUGGAAUAGUGCACAAAUUCUACCUCUAGCAGAAGACAUCAGGAAGCUUCAAAAGCAUUUAAAGUAUCUUGAGGAGGUCAACAAACAAGAACUCAAUGACCAUCCAUCCAAAAGCUCAUGGAGUGAUCUCUCCCAAGUCACUCUUUCACAGUUAAUUUUGUUUAAUCGGCGUCGUGAAGGAGAAGUUUCUAGAAUGGAGGUCAAAACAUAUCUGCAGAGAAACCACAUCAACAUACAGGAUGAUAUUUUGGAGAGUCUAUCACCGUUUGAGAAGAAAUUAUGUGAGAAUCUCACCAGAAUAGAAAUAAGAGGAAAGAGGGGUCGGAAAGUUCCAAUAUUAUUACCAGCAAAUGUAAAGGAAUCAGUAGAACUUCUAAUCAAAACAAGAGAAGAUGCUGGGAUUUCUCAAGCUAACCCUUACAUAUUUGCCCGUCCCAAUUAUGGAUCACUAGAGAACAUGCGUGGAUGUGACAGCUUAAAGCGAUACGCUAAAAGCUGUGGGGCUAAACAUCCAGAGAACAUCACUUCUACUAAAUUGAGAAAACAUGUGGCUACAGUUUCUCAGUUACUCAACUUAAAAACACAUGAACUUGACCAGCUUGCCACAUUUAUGGGACAUGACAUCUAUGUCCAUAGGGAGUUUUAUAGACUCCCUGAAGAAACGUUGCAAAUGGCAAAAGUCAGCAGAAUUCUUUUUGCCUUGCAAAGUGGAAUAAGCAAAUAUAAAGGACAAUCUUUGGAGGACAUAACACCUAACAUAAACUCUGAAGAGGGCUCCAGCUCAGACUCAGAGGAUGGUAAUUCUAAAAAACAGACAAGCAGAGGCGAAAAUGCUGACAAAGAGAAAGAUCUUUCUGAAAUUAGGGAUCUCGACUCUGGAAAGGCUGCAGCCUCUCAUGAGGUGAUUGGACAUAUGAGUAAUCCACUAUUGUCCUUCAGUCAAAAACGAAAACCCAAAAAGCCCUGGUCAGAAACAGAGAGGAAAGUCAUAGAACUCUAUUUCAAGAGCAACUUUAAAGAAAUGAAGGCUCCUGGAAAAGUGGACUGUGAAAAAUGCUUAAACAAAAAUACAAUUUUAAAGGAUAAUGGAAGAGAUUGGAAAGCAGUUAAAUACUUUGUGCACAACAGAAUAAUUUCGAUUAAGAGGAAUUUGACUCAAGGGUAUCAUGCUCUAUAUCCCUGAGAGCUUGUGAUGUGGACUAUCAGUGUUGAAUCAUAACUGUAAUAGUCUAUGUAAAUGGAGCAUCAGUGUGUCAAAUAAUUGAUAUUAGCUUGUUUUAGAUGCAUGUCUAAACUUUUCAAGCAACAAAGUCUAUUCUGCUUGGGCCUCUCAGUUAUUGAAUGCCUUGUUAUGACUUUGGUUUUAGCCACUUUAAAAUUUUACAAAUUUCUUUAUUUUACCUUUAAUACCACCUUUUUUCCUUUACCAAACUAUAUAUGUUUAUUGUGAUUUUAAAUUUACAGAAAGUGAAAGCAACUUAUUUAAAAAGUAUUACAGAAAAAAAUAUAGUAUUAUUUAAUGUUAUUGAUUUUAUUGUUGUCAACCUGUAGCCUGGAGCCACUUAUCACUGAGGGUGGAAUUGCACUACUGCAAGGGGGGUGGGGACGGGUGGGGUUGGGGGGCUGGUCUGGGGUGCUCUAUUAGUGAGCUUAUGCUAUUUUGCAGGUAAACUCAGCUUGACAGUUUAUCACUUUGAA